rnacentral:misc_RNA from 1 species
AAGUCGUAACAAGGUUUCCGUAGGUGAACCUGCGGAAGGAUCAUUAACACUUUUUGUUGAUUGUUGGUUUUUUUUACAAAAACCGACAACCACAAUUUAUCCUAUCCAAACUGAAGAGCUUGUGAGCAGUGUGCUUUUUUUGUCUCUUUCGAGACAAAAAGCUGGCUCCCAUUUUCUCACUCUUUUAACUUUUAAACAAAAACCCCAAUCACACAAAUCUAAUUCAUUUGUGAGAUUGCAAACAAUCAAUUUGCUAUCUUGACAAUCUAGAAAACAACUAUUAAGAGAUUUACAUCUCAAAAUGUAACCAAACAACUCUUAACAACGGAUAUCUUGGCUCUC